GACGAACGCUGGCGGCGUGCUUAACACAUGCGAGUCGAACGGAAAGGCCCCCUUGUGGGGUACUCGAGUGGCGAACGGGUGAGUAACACGUGAGUAACCUACCCUUGACUUUGGGAUAACUUCAGGAAACUGGGGCUAAUACCGGAUAGGAGCUCCUGCUGCAUGGUGGGGGUUGGAAAGUUUCGGCGGUUGGGGAUGGACUCGCGGCUUAUCAGCUUGUUGGUGGGGUAGUGGCUCACCAAGGCUUUGACGGGUAGCCGGCCUGAGAGGGUGACCGGCCACAUUGGGACUGAGAUACGGCCCAGACUCCUACGGGAGGCAGCAGUGGGGAAUAUUGCACAAUGGGCGGAAGCCUGAUGCAGCAACGCCGCGUGCGGGAUGACGGCCUUCGGGUUGUAAACCGCUUUCGCCUGUGACGAAGCGUGAGUGACGGUAAUGGGUAAAGAAGCACCGGCUGACUACGUG
rnacentral:rRNA from 1 species